CCUACGGGUGGCUGCAGUGAGGAAUAUUGGUCAAUGGGCGAGAGCCUGAACCAGCCAAGUCGCGUGAAGGAUGACGGCCCUACGGGUUUUAAACUUCUUUUGUCAGGGAGCAAUUGAGUCCACGUGUGGGCUUAGCGAGAGUCCCUGAAGAAAAAGCAUCGGCUAACUCCGUGCCAGCAGCCGCGGUAAUACGGAGGAUGCGAGCGUUAUCCGGCUUUAUUGGGUUUAAAGGGUGCGUAGGCGGAAUAUCAAGUCAGCGGGAAAAAUUCGGGGCUAAACCCCGUCGUGCCGUUGAAACUGAUGGUCUUGAGUGGGCGAGAAGUAUGCGGAAUGCGGGGUGUAGCGGUGAAAUGCAUAGAUAUCACGCAGAACUACGAUUGCGAAGGCAGCAUACCGGCGCCCAACUGACGCUGAAGCACGAAAGCGUGGGUAUCGAACAGGAUUAGAUACCCGUGUAGUC
rnacentral:rRNA from 1 species